rnacentral:rRNA from 1 species
GACGAACGCUGGCGGCGUGCUUAACACAUGCAAGUCGAGCGGAAAGGCCCUGCUCUUGCGGGGUGCUCGAGUGGCGAACGGGUGUGUAACACGCGAGUAACCUGCCCUUGACUUAGGGAUAACUCCAGGAAACUGCGGCUAAUACCGGAGAGGAUCUCCUGCUGCACGGUGGGGGUUGGAGAGUUUCGGCGGUAUGGGAUGGACUCGCGGCUUAUCAGCUUGUUGGUGGGGUAGUGGCUUACCAAGGCUUUGACGGGUAGCCUGCCUGAGAGGGUGGCCGGCCUCAAUGGGCCUGCGGUACGGACCAGACUCCUACGGGCGGCAGCAGUGGGGAAUAUUGCACAAUGGGCGGACGCCUGAUGCAGCAGCGCCGCGUGCGGGAUGCCCGCCUUCGGGUUGUAAACCGCUUUCGACUGUGCCGAAGCCUGAGUGACGGUAAUGGGUCAGGAAGCACCGGCUAACUACGUG